rnacentral:rRNA from 1 species
GAUGAACGCUGGCGGCGUGCCUAAUACAUGCAAGUCGAGCGAACAGAUAAGGAGCUUGCUCCUUUGACGUUAGCGGCGGACGGGUGAGUAACACGUGGGUAACCUACCUAUAGGACUGGGAUAACUUCGGGAAACCGGAGCUAAUACCGGAUAACAUUUGGAACCGCAUGGUUCUAAAGUGAAAGAUGGUUUUGCUAUCACUUAUAGAUGGACCCGCGCCGUAUUAGCUAGUUGGUAAGGUAACGGCUUACCAAGGCAACGAUACGUAGCCGACCUGAGAGGGUGAUCGGCCCCACUGGAACUGAGACACGGUCCAGACUCCUACGGGAGGCAGCAGUAGGGAAUCUUCCGCAAUGGGCGAAAGCCUGACGGAGCAACGCCGCGUGAGUGAUGAAGGGUUUCGGCUCGUAAAACUCUGUUAUGAGGGAAGAACAAAUGUGUAAGUAACUGUGCACGUCUUGACGGUACCGAAUCAGAAAGCCACGGCUAACUACGU